rnacentral:piRNA from 1 species
UGCUAGGGAGUUUCUAUGUCGCUAUGCCU